GUAAUUGUCUAACAUGUUGUUUUCUUAGUUGUCUAACAUGAUGUUGUUGUUGUUGUCGUCGUAAUUGUCGUAAUUGUCUAACACGUUGUUGUUGUUGUCGUAAUUGUCUAACACGUUAUGUUGGCUUUGACAGAUCUUCCAAGCUCACCGACCACUUGUGUUCGCUUUCACCUAGCAAAGAAAUGGCUACUAUAUUGGAUGCUUGUUUUUUAUUGGUUCUAAGCCGGGGGUCUAUCGGAAACAGUCUCUCUCUACCCUCCCCAGACUCCACUAGGGGUUCAAUUUGAGAAUUCAUGUGAUGUUGGGAGUUUUCUCAAAGCUCACGCAUUCUUACUGUUUGGUUGCUCAUGGCGGUUCCGAAAACUUCUACAGGAAACAAAAACGGCCUUCUCGUGCCUCACACUACUACAGAUCAAGGUACAAAUACAGUGAUAUUUCGAUGAUGUGAUUAACUG